rnacentral:lncRNA from 1 species
GUGCACCCCCUGCACACUACUUCACCAGGAAGCCCCAGCCCUGCACCUCCCACCAGGCUGAAGUUAUUUUCUCCAGGGACUCACCCGCUCGGCUUUCCCGGAAUGGUUCUUCUCCAGCAAUUCCGGGAACGCUUGAGUUUUGGGCAACAGCAGCUGAAAUGCUCUCCGAGGAUGUCUCAGCUUCCUCAGGCCUGUUCGGGUUGCAGGGCAGGCUGCUUGCACCCGGGCUGCAAGGUAUCCUGGACGCGGCUGACCCCCGCCCUGUAGGGCUCCUGGCUUUCAUGAGACAUCCCGGCAUUCCAGGCGGGACUUGGACCCAAGAAACCCAAUGAGAGGUCUCUGCUUCGCACCGCCUGCUACUCCCAGAAUCAGGCCUGGGUUAAUUGGAUUAGGGCUGAGCAGAAACAUUACUGUGUGUCCUCAUCCACCUUAUUCACCGGAUCUGGCACCAUGUGACUUUUGGCUCUUCCCUCAAGACAAAAUGGCCAUGAAAGGGAAGCUCUCACAAAAGAGGACUCCAGAGCUGCUUCAGACAGUGGCAAGAACCAUGGGACAAGUGUGUUCACACCAAGGGGAGUAUUUUUAAAAUUCAAACAUUCACCACACCCAUAUGUCAUAUUGAGAGCCGCUGUGUCCCCUCCGGAAUGCUCAGGUCCUGGGGACCC